UACGGGGGGGGCAAGCGUUGUUCGGAAUUACUGGGCGUAAAGGGCUCGUAGGCGGCCAACUAAGUCGGACGUGAAAUCCCCAGGCUCAACCUGGGAACUGCGUCCGAUACUGGAUGGCUUGAAUUCGGGAGAGGGAUGCAGAAUUCCAGGUGUAGCGGUGAAAUGCGUAGAUAUCUGGAGGAAUACCGGUGGCGAAGGCGGCAUCCUGGACCGACAUUGACGCUGAGGAGCGAAAAGCUAGGGGAGCAAACGGGG
rnacentral:rRNA from 1 species